UGUGGACAAAAUGGUCAAGUAACUGUAAAUGUUUAAUUUACUGAAAGCUACACAUACAUUUGUAAAAUAACAUUAAAAUAUUUCCAAACAUUGGGCUUUUUACUUCUCACAUUUUGAAAAACAAUUUUAUUCAAUAUCCUUUAACACAUCCAUGACAUCAAUGUCAAUAUUACUAUAAGACACUUUGUGGUCAUCUGUUUUCUAGAGCACAUUUUCACUGGAGGCUUUUAAAUCCAUUGCUGGUGCUGCCACAGGGAAGUCCAUCCCAAGCCAUGGGUCUUUACUGCAUAUAUGAGAAUAUCUGCUAUUUCAUUCAGGACAUUAAUAUGUUUGUUAUAUAUAUGUAUUUUAUAUAUACACAUAUAUGUGAAUAUUAUCAUGCUUCCCCUAGCUUCCUAAUAUAUUGCUUUUUUAAAGGGUUCCUGACAUAAAACUCUUGUAAGAUCAUACUCACAAUGACAUUUUUAUCGCUUGUUUUCAAGGGAUUCUCUUGUGUGACCCUUGAAGCAUGGAAACUAGGAUUAAUUCAUGUUAUAUCAGACUAACACGUUCUCUCUCUACCACUCCAACAUAGUACUUAGCUCUUCAAACUAAUAUAUGGAGAAACUGCCCCAUAAUAUAUGGGAUUUUGAUAGCACUUGAGUAUAAAGGGACUCUCUUUUUACUAAGGAGUAUAUGGGAGGAAGAAUUAAAAGUUUAAACCACAACUUAAAUGUUCACCUCUCCAUCAUUUUUUCUAUACUAUCUGUUGAUUUUCACAUUUCUUUCAUUAAACUUUGUUAUAUAAUCAAAAUAACAAACUUGAAACUCCAUGAAGCCACAGUGAAAAACUAAAAGUGAAGUCAAGAACAGAGCAACUCCUAGCACCGAGGCCAAGUGUGUGUGAAGUCCCUGUGGGUUGGCACACCCCCAAGCGGGUCGUCUCUGGAGGCCAGUGCCCUGCUUGAGACAGUGGUCACCCUUCCUCCCACUGGUCCGUCUGCCUCCUGCAAGCUCUAAUUACACCGUGGCCCUAGUACAGCUGUGGCCCUUGGGGAAUACAGAAGCACAAUCAACUGAUUGUUUCACGUGAAUAAAGCGAGUGUGUGGUAUAAGAGGAUUUGAUGAGUUCCGGUGGGUUUCUGGUACUUUGGUAGAGGUUGGCACUUGUCUUUUCUUAGUAAAUUGUGGCCCCAUCCAAACAGGGUAGGGUGUCGUGUUUUCCUGCUGUCACCAGCUUCUCCUCUUGAUUAAGCUUGUCUUUCACCAAGCUGGCAUUACUAAAGUACUUGAAAUCACAGAUAAAGAGGUAGGAUCUUUACCACUUAAAAAUUAAGUGCACUGAUGUGGUAUUUGGGCCUCUCAGCUUUUUACAUAGUAAAAUCUUCAGUUUCCUCUCUUUUUCAGUCCUUUAGGCUUAGGGCUAGUUUCUUCAGUGCUGCCUCAAUAUUGUGGACAAUAAUAAAGUUACCGAGCAUGUCAGCUGGCAUUUCAUUUCUCGGUGUCUAAGUUUGUUGUGUGCCCUGUUUCCAGGGAAAAAGUGGCCCCAAUAUAGCAUCCUUCUGGGAAAUUGUUGCUUAAAAUUCCAUUCCCUUAUUGCACAGUUUAGUUGUGGCAUUGCACUCUUCUUCCAAAGGUGGGGCAGGAUGGUUGGCGAUGGGAUUAAGGAUGUGGAUGUGGAUCCAGCCCAAGUGAAAAUUUCCAUAAGGAAAAGUGGGAGGAGGUCAAAUGCAAAACACCCUCUAACAGGCAGCAAUGUUGCAAUGAAUAAUAAUAAUCUUUAGGACUGGUAUAGAUAACUCUUUUCAUCUUCAAAGCAUUUUGCUAACAUUUAGUUCAUUAAUUCUACCAACAGCCCUGUAGGGAGAUAAGUUUUUAUUAUAAUAGCUUCACGUUGCCUUUAAAGAACUGAGACAGAAUUGGAGGAGGCUAUUUACUGAGUGCCACCUGGGCUAUCCCCUACUGUCUAGGUGUCUCUAUCUUUCCUGUGAAACAAUUCACGCAGACCGAUGAAAGAGUGGGAAUUUCAGCGGUUCCCAGGAACCUGUGUGAUACAAGAAUCUGCUGCCACUUGUUGCUCUCAAAAAUACCGUCCCUCCUGCUCCUGCAGCUCUGUGGCUGCUUACAACAGCAAGGCGCAGAGACUGAAAACUUGUAAACAGCUGUCGGGGGCUGGGGGCGGGCAGAGUGUAACAGAAUAGGCUGCCAAAUUCCUGACUGCCAUAUGUGCUGUGUAAUACUUGUCAUCUCAAGUGAGUCAUUAAAAGGUUUCCCCUUAAUGGGGCUUUGAAGUGCUGGGACAGCUUGAGCGCAUCUAUAAAUUGCCACAAACAGCCCUCUGACUGAGUUAGCUAAUUGCUUGCUCUUUGACUUAUUAGGAUCAACUGAGUUAAAUAAUUUGUCACAUGUGUGGCUCAUAAUAAAUAAUGUGACUAGCCAGUUUGUGGGCUGUUUCAGUGAUAUAUUGUACCCCUUUUGGAUGUUGUCACAUGUAGCUAGCAAAUGUGGGCUGUUUUAUCCAUAGGACUAUCAUAUCCCUGAGUUCUGACAGAGCAAUUGGAGAAAAAAUGUUAAAAGGAGUCUAGUUACAAAUCAAUGUGUUCACUUCUUCAACCUUUCCAUAAAGCGUAAAUAUCAUUUUUCUUCGAUAUCACACAUCAUGCAAGUCAUAGGCAAAAGAAUAUAAAUUAUAAGUACUGAAUUAUUCUAGUUAAUAUGGACUGAAUUAUUACAGUUAAAAUAUUGUCUGUUCCCUUUGUGAAAACAAGCAGCCCCUGCUAGCCAGCCCGGUGGAUGUGCUCAGCCCAGCUCAGCUCAGCACUGCAUUCCAGCCAGUGUUUGUGCUGUGGGUUGUGCCAAGGGCAUUGUUGUCUAUUGCCAGAAGACAGAGAGGGUGACAACUGGGAUAGAGAGGACCCUGGAUGAGGAGAGAUUAAUUUGAAAGAGAGAAUCUGAGAAGGUCUGGGCAUAUCUUCAUUGCUAAAAGUACAAGCUGGAUGAAGUGCUCACCCUUAGUUCUUCUGGAAGAGCUCAUGGAAUGGAUGUCCUAGUUUCUUACUCAGUGUACAUGGCUGUCACCACCAAGUGCACUUCUCUGUACAAACCUGCCAUACUGAUGAUGGGGUGUCAUCCAGCACUGAGGAGCAAGGAGAGGUGGAAAGAGGAAAAUGACAUUAAAGUGGCCACUGAAUUAAAGCCUCAACUCAAGUGCCAGAGACAUCAGGCUGCAGAUGCCAGCCCUGUGUGGCCUUUAUCCUGACAUGGUCUUCCUCUCUGCCCAGGAAAGCAGGCCCCAGGUACAACCUGUGAGAGAGCAGCCACCACCUGCUUGGGGAGAAUGGACAGCAGACAGUUGUGGUCAGAACUAUCUUGCCUGCACCUACCCUGCAGCAGAAGGACCCUUCAGGACAUGCCCCCUUCUAUCCAGAGUGUGUGGAAAUGUCCCAAGAAAUUAGCCUCCCUGCUUUUGUAACCAUAGCACAUCCAGGAGGAAGAGCCGGGAAUCCCUGGGGCCAAGACCCGUCCUGUCCUUAGUGGGUCCUCCACAGAGUGUGAAGGGGAAUCACCCACUAAAUGUUCCUUUUCUGCAUGGUGGUCCCAAACACUGGGUUCUGUGCUGAUUUCUUUUUUAACAUUAAAAGUUUCUUUCUGCCUAUAAGUGUUUCGGCUGCUUACUUUCUUCCCUUGCUGAGAAGCAGAAGUAAAAUGGUCUCAGGUUUUUCUUUAUUUCUAACCACUGUCAGAAACUGCCUGAAUAUCUAAAGGCUGUGAGUCUCAGGCAGAUCAACAGUUCCAAAUACCUAAAUACCAGACAUUCACCAGGAGCAAGACCUUGACAACCCUGCAGCUCCUGCCACAAGUGAGUCUGAAAUAAUUGCUGUUGAAAGAAUGACCCCAUGCCACCCUCUUCAUUGCUGUCUAAACCCUCAAUCAGCCUCAAAUUAGAUCACCGUAGAGAAACAUACCUGAGCCACAGAUGGGUCAACUCCUCCUCUCGUUGUGCCCUUGCUGUGACUUACGCCUUUGAUUUUUAUUUAGGAACUCUACUUAAAAAAUAGGAACAAGAAAAGCAAAAAUCUAUGACUUUGAAAACCUUCCCACUUGUUUUAAUCAGUAUCCAUGUAUGAGACCUUAUGUACCUAGUGCCAGAGAAAAGCAUUCCUGAAAGAACUAGUAUUUUUCUUUUAUACAAGCAGCAUGAACUAUCUCACCCAGGGCCUUUUCUUGCUUAAGUUGCCUCAUCUUCUCAGAGAGUGAAAAGAUGGUGCUCAGAACGCAAAGCCCUGGUGCAUUUUCACGUGGUCAUGGAUGGUUUCAGAUCCCUAUUUUAAUAUUUCUCUUGUACUUUAGUAUUUCAGUUGUAGGUGUUCACAUUGUAAGAAUAUUAUUUUAAGUCAUUUUUAGAAGGAGAGUGGAUAUAAAUUAUGAGUAAUUAAAAUGAAUAUUUUAAACUUACAAUAUCCAUAGUAUUUUUCUGACUUCAAAUAAUAUAAAAAUACUGCUUUAUAAGAUUCUAAGUUACAGAGCUAUUUUAUCUGGAUAUUGAGCCUCUGAAUUCACAACCAUACAUAAUGCAUUCCGCACGUUCUAGAGGUACUCAUUUAUUUGUAACCUUUGAAGCACAUUAUACUGGGCAGAGUCCUACACAUGAGUUCAGAGAUUUAGGAAUGAAUCCCAACAUUGCCACUUUGAUACCUUUGAGAUAAAAUUUUUCAUCUGUAAAAUUAUUAAAACUCAAUGCUAAAAAUUAUAAAUAAUGUAGACAUGUCUAUCUCAGUGCUCCGCAAAAUAUGGCUCUCAAUUUCCUUCCAUCCAUUUUUGCUCCCCGGAUGCGAGGCAAUCUUGUGAUGAAGGGUCUAGGAAACUAAGUACAUUCAACCCGGAACACUGUGGUCUUCCUUGGUUCAUCCAUGCACGUAUUUACCCCAUAUUUACUGGUGAAUAAACGUAGUGGGUAAACAUGAUGGCAAAACAGCCGUUGAGAAGGAAAGUUAACAUUUAGGAUCCUCCCUUCCUAGGACCAUCUUUUGGGGGAAGCACCCAUCCACAGACACGAGGGACACCUACAAAUAACACAGGAGUGUUUCUUGUUCCUUCAAAAAUCCUGCCUUCUGCUACCAGUAUUCCUGAAUGUGUAUUUUCUUUAUCAUUUUACCUCUCAAACAAUUUUAAUUUCUAUUCUGAUUUGUUUUCUCAGAUUUUUCUUUUGAUUUACUGACUUAUUAAACAUCUUAGUCAUGCUUAUGAAUACUUCACAGUUACCUAAUUAAUAGAAGGAAACUUUCUCUUCUCUCCCUAUCCUCUAAGAUCUACGUGUCCACUUAUUUCUAGAGAGCUAUGUGACAUGACCUUCUCCUUCAAUGCUUACGCAAUGUCCAGGGUUCCGGUUUUUGGCCAGGUAGGUGACAGUAAGUUGGUGAAUGUUAAGAUGAAGAUGUUCUGGUAGUAUGUGUCCACCAUGUGGUAAAACCAGAUAAAUGGAUUCUAGACUUGUACAAAUUGCUUCCGUCUACAUUUGUCCGCACAUUCUAUCACAUCUGUCAGACUGACUUUAUCUUACCAAUCAAUACGUUUUUAAACACACACCUAAUUGCUUGUAUUGUUAUGUACUAGUAUAAAUAAAAUAUGCCUUCGUUAAUAUUUCACAAUGGAAAAAAAAUUCUUUUUAGAAAAUGUUUAAAGAGAUUUAUUUAAUUACUCUUAGAAGUACUCCGUAGUUGGCUCUAUUAGCAUGUGACGUAAGAAAAUGCAAUAUGUGAACAUUUUAACUUUUAAAAUGGUCACAGUUUAAAACUUUUUUGAGUUCAAAGUAAUUUUUUUUCAUUUAUUAUUCACCAGAAUUAAUAUUAUCAGAAUGGAAUACAAUAAGUCUUUGUAAAUUAUGGUAAGUGAAUUGGGAAGUGUAGCUAACUAUAUCCAUGCAGUUUGUCAGGAGCAUUUUUUCAUAAAAUGAAAUACAACACUGAUUAUUUUCACUUUUUAAAAGUUGCUGUUAAUUUAAAAGCUAACAAAACAAUCAGUUAUAAACCAAGGAAUAUAUUGUUGCUGUCAUCCAGUGAGCAUUGUUAGAUGAUUUUCCUUCCUGAGCAGGACGUGAAAAAGCAUACUGUCCAUGCUGUAUGUGCUGACCAUGGGGAUUUAGGGGUGCCCGGGGGCACUGUGUGGCAAGUGUACUCCCACAGGUUCAGCAGCCUCUGCUCACCUCUCAGGCUUUCUGCUGUUUUCUGGGACGUUGAUGCUAUAGUGUGGCCCAGAGCUCUUAACCAAACACAAUUCUUGCAUUACCUUUUUGAAAUUUAAAAAUAAAACUUUUAUAUUGUAACUACUACAUUUAUAAAAGCUUAAAUAUUUUCUUUUUCUUGGAAAAUAGCAGGUUUAAUUGUUGAACUUCAGGAAGCAAUUCAGAGUGGCCCACUGAACUGGCUGCUGGUCAGGAGUAAACUGAGACCUGCCCUUUAAUAAAUAGAAAACCAAAUGAUUAGCAGCAGAAUUAGCUCAUACUCACCACUAACUACCUGCUCUCUGUAUGGCACUCAGUAGCUCUGACCACUUAACAUUUUUAAGCCUUCUUUCCCCUCUGUAAUGUAAACUUUGUGAAGCUCAGGCCUUUUAAAAAUGUAUACCCUUUGCUAAGUAAGCUUGAUACAAUAAAAUCUUUGUUCUCUGCAGCAUUGCAGAUUCAUAUAUGUAUAUACACACAUGCACUGUCUAAUAUUUAUCUGGUCUGGAAUAAGCAUUAAUCUUUAAUUACUAUAUAAACAUUUUAAACAGGUGUGGAAUAACUGCACUCUCAAAAAUGUAGUGUUUAUCUCCUUGCUGCCUGAUGGCAUCAGCCCCACUGCCUGACAGCUUUCACCUCCCUGUGCUUGAGGUGGAAAUGGAGAGGCGGUGGGUAAAGGGCAAAGAAAUGCCCCAAAUCCCACAUGAAUCAGAAAUUUCCAGUUAUAAAUUAUGCACCACCAUAACAUCCUUUACCACAGUUUGCCAGCCAGGAGUUGAGUUUGGGGUAGUGUUUUUCUGUGUUGGUAUGGUGUGGGGCUGGGGGCUGUAUAUAUAGCCACGCGUUUUUUUUUCUUCCUGUGGAUUGUACGCCCUCAGCCGUCUUUUCUUGGGGCUGUGCACGGAGCCUGUGGUGUGAGGAGAUAUAAAGCAGCAUUUUUCUAACUGCCUUUGGAAACAAUGAGAGCUCUGUUAACAGGAGCCCAAGCCUCUGCAGACUGCCUCGCUGGGCAGAAUGACUGGUGGAGCCCAGGUUCAAAGCCAUUGGCCUCCAAGUGCUUUCAUUCAGCAUUAUUUUUGCUUCUCUAACCUCUUUUUUCCUUUCACUCUUCUUUUUUUCUUUUUUAACCUAAGCAUUCUGAGGUCUCCUUGUUUGGUAGGGAGCUGAGCAGCAACUUUUUGUAAUUAGAUUAUACUUAAUCAAAUGAAGGCUUGGAUAUUUUUAAAUGUCAUUUAAUCUGCUUCUCCUCUUCUUCCUUCAUGGAUUUUAUCACUCUAGCUUAAUUUGUUGUAAAAUUUCAGCUCAUUUUUGCCUGGUACCAGGUUUUCCAGUUUAAAAUAAAAUAGAAAAUGACAAGACAACAGAUAUUUUCAGCAGUCUUUGUUCUUCCUUGUAAUAAAAACAAACUCAAUUCUGUAUUAGACAACACUAAGUAGUUAUAAUAUUCCUAGUAGUAAUUUUUCUGCUGUUACAAAUCUGCUAGGUUGGAGAAAUGAAAGGGAAAUACAAAAUAAAAGGUUCUAUAAUUAAGAAGAAAAUAAAGAGGAAAAGGUGCUUUAAAAAACCCUUAAUUGAGGAAUAUUUCUUACAGAAAGAAGUUGUCAGUGGUAAGUGCUGCCUGAUGAAGUUAGGAUAUUUUGGUCAGUUUAAAAUGAUGAUCCCCGAGGAGAGAGAGAUGAAAGCAUGGAGCUGGGGAGCACAGACGAUGGCAUUUCUAUGCUCCGGCAAUAAAAAUGUAAACAUCCUUUCUUGUUCGGUGAAAAACUCUAUCUUCUGCACUAUGUGUUACAAAUGAGAUAUGAAAACAAGGCAAAGGAAACAAUGUUCAAAACUAUUUUUAACAUCUCACACUAUUGUAAACUCAAGAUAUCAUAUGAAAUUUGACUUCAUACUUGUGGUCUUUCUCUGCUUUUGGGAGUUUGCUGUUCAGCUAAGCCUUGUUGGGAGUUUGCUGCUCAGCUUAGCCUCUGACAAGCCUACUUUCUGCUCAGAGGAGAGGAGAUCAGCUUUCCAAUUUGUUAGGCGAUAGGCAGUGGGGUGGUGCACUGACAGAUCUGGUUCUGAUUUUUAAGUGGUGUUAAAAAGGUCAAGGUUCACAUUUUUCCCAUUUUAUCGCGAGUUCAUCACCAGCAAAUCUGCCUUUGCCACAUUUAGUCAGCACUACUAAAUGAACGAAGACCAGAAAUGGGGAUCAUGGGUUCGCUUUCCUCCCUGGUUACAUACUAGCAUCUGCUACAGAAAAAGAAAAGUUCAUGUCACCGUAGAGUGGCCCUGGCUUCAUAGUUUUGACUAGUAGUCUGAUCAUUUAAAUGUUUAGUUUACAUUUCUUAUUUAUAGUGAAAAUAAAUAGCUCCCUAAUUUUAAUGUUUGAAGAUAAGAAUGGAGUGUUAUUUUAUUAAUUCAUCAUUUUUUCUUUGUCAUGAUUCUUUAAGUUUACACUUCUGUUUUGUAAAAAUAUGUGAUAUUGAAGUUAUCUUUUUUUCUGACACUGAAGUUAACAAUAGCUUCCCAAAUCUCUGCUUUGAAAAGAUGAAGUAUCAUUUUUUGUAGUAAUACUAGUAAAUAAUGAGAAAAGUUUAUAGAAAUAAUUCUUGAUACUUAUAGUAUUUUAUCUCCUUGGAAUUGUUUUUUGAACUGAUGAUAAACUAGAAUGUGAAUUUAUUUUUGCAAAAGAUGACAAAACUUCUAUAAAUAAAACCCACCACUUUUAGAGAAUUUAAUUGUAUCAGUUGGAAAUGGCCACACUUUUUUGCUAGUUUAUUGGCUAAUUUGUUUGAAAUUGAUUAAUGCUUUUUUUUUUAAAUGACACAUUCGAAAAUAUAUAUUAUCAAACUUUUUUUUUAAAUUUUGAGAUAAACGUGAAAACUUUAAAGUUUGGUAGUUUGUGAUUUGCUAAAAUGCAGAGAUGUGAAAAAAUGUACAUGUGUGUGAGAUGUUUGGCUUUUAUUGGCUUUGCAAUAGUGAUAAAGUGAUUCACAGAUUAUCAAACUACUAUACUGUUUAGACACAUAUAUUAAGAUGUUUCUGUGUGAUCUCAGACGAUCUUGUAAACCUGCAUAAAUCUUUAAUUUAAAGAAGAAUUUCAUUUAUAAGACUUAAAAGAAGCUUGUGGGAGGUGUCAGAAUUUUAAAAUUACUACUAAUAUUUUAUUCACAAAAAGCUAACCAGGUACUUCUUGUAAACUGAGAGUUAUUGAAUAAAAUUACUAGGAGGCUUCUCACCUCCUUCCCCAUUUAUAUUGGAACACACACACACACACUCAUGCACACACACACAAUAUUUUUCUGUGUUUAUAAAUGCUAUAUAAGGAAUUAAUAUGUGGAUGCAUUACAUACUGCGUUAGAGUUUUAUAGCCAAACGUUUGUGGAUGCUGUUUCCACUCCCACUCCUCUUAAACACAAAGAUGUACUUAAAUAAGGAAAAAUAUACCCUCUGAAGUGAAAUCCUAAAAACAUUUUUUUACUUGCUAGAAUUUGUCUUAUGGUGGGUUUUCCUAAACAUGUAGAUGAAACGAAUGUUUAUGGGUGAUUUUAACACCUCCUAAGAGCAAAUUGAUAGAGUCAGUUCAUUAAGAUCCCCUUACAGCCACACAGGCAAUAAAAACCAUUGAUGCAAUAGAUAAGCCUUUGAAUUUAAUGUUUAAAAUCAGUUACUAAAAAAAUUUCUUCCUUUUCUGCAGAAUGAAAAUGCAAACAUUUCACGUGUUAAAAAGUCGAAUAAUGUGGUUAGUUUAGCUUUAAACAGUUAUUACUCAUAAUGAAUUAUUUGUACCUUCAGUAUUUAACUUAUCUAAUUUUAGAGAUGUUUCCUCAGUGUUUUGUAUAAGUUGUUUUUACAAGUCUUAUAUUCGGAAGAGAUAAUGUUGAUUGGAAGACUUACUCACAACAAUGUUACUACAUACAUAAAAGCUAUAGCUCUCCCACCAAUAAAUUUUAUGUUAUCCCCAUUAUUUUAUUCUAAAGAAGAAUAUAGAUCUCCAGUACAACAUAAUAAGAAGUAUGCAAUUUUAUACCCAGGGAACUAUGUAAAUAAAACGUUAGGUAUUUUCAAGUUAAUUUGACAGAAUUGUCAUUCCAGGAUAUUGCUGAAUGCAGCUGGGAAAGGCUCUUUGGCAGAGACUAAUCAGUGCAAGCUCUCGCAAGUUGUGGAAAUAUAGUAAUCACAGAAUCCUUUUAUGAACAAUUUUAAUGUUUGUUAACCUUGUUCUAGCUAAUACAAAGAAUGUUUUUUUGAGACACAGUUGGUAUAUUCAGCAGAUUCUCUUCGAUAGCUUGAUACACGGCACCUAGGGUGAAUAAAGCAGUGGUGUGUGUUGCUAAUACAUUUCAGUGAUGUCCCACUGAAUUCGAAGCUCUGCCAGUAGGAUCCUUUGUCUUUUUCUGUUACUUCUCAUUCAAGGUAUAUUUAUGUAAAGGAAGAACCAUUAUUUUAGUUUAAAAUAUUAAACAAAAUAUUUUUAUUUCUAUUUAAAUACUCAUGGAUCACCCACUGCCUCAAAAAUAAAUAAAUGAGCUUAAGUCAUCAAA